UACGGAGGGGACUAGCGUUGUUCGGAAUUACUGGGCGUAAAGGGCGCGUAGGCGGCUCGCUAAGUCGGAUGUGAAAACUCUGGGCUCAACCCAGAGCCUGCAUUCGAAACUGACGAGCUCGAGUUCUGGAGGGGAAAGCGGAAUUCCUGGUGUAGCGGUGAAAUGCGUAGAUAUCAGGAGGAACACCGGUGGCGAAGGCGGCUUUCUGGACAGAAACUGACGCUGAUGCGCGAAAGCUAGGGGAGCAAACAGG
rnacentral:rRNA from 1 species